rnacentral:lncRNA from 1 species
AAAAUUUUAAAGCCAAAUCCACUGAGAGAUCCUUUUUCGCCUCUCAACAUUGACCUGUAUAACAAUGAUUCGCAAUCAGACCAUCCACCAGAUUGGUCUAUGAAGAUGAACCCACAAUGUAUAAGUAAUAAUGCUGGACCUACUGAAUCCCAUGGUGAGACAGAAAACACUGCUGGUUCUGACAAUACGAAUAUUAUCGUUCCUUUAAGUGGUUCAGACUUUUCACAUGAGCAAUUGAUGAAAAACGAUUCAGGCAAAGAUAAUAUAAAAACUGGGCCAAAUGGAUCUCAAUCUGAAAAGGAGCUACACUGCCGGUUCCGACAAUACGAAUAUUAUGAAGAUGAACCCACAAUGUAUAAGUAAUAAUGCUGGACCUACUGAAUCCCAUGGUGAGACAGAAAACACUGCUGGUUCUGACAAUACGAAUAUUAUCGUUCCUUUAAGUGGUUCAGACUUUUCACAUGAGCAAUUGAUGAAAAACGAUUCAGGCAAAGAUAAUAUAAAAACUGGGCCAAAUGGAUCUCAAUCUGAAAAGGAGCUAGAAAAUGGUUAUGAUGAUAUUGAUAUCAACA